UUGCUAAAGGAUCGAUGUCUCUGUACGAAAGCCAAAUUUUGUUGCAAAAUGUAUUACUUUUGUUAACGAAAAAAAUAUGUUCGUUGCGGAACAAUUAGCAAUGCACAUUGCGUAACGAAAGACGCAACGACAGUAAAGUCGUUGCCAAAACCCUUUUGCAAUGAAAUUUGGCACCUUUAGCAACGAAAAUCGGUUGUUGCUGAAGCCUCAUUUUUUUGUAGUGUUAGAAAUUAGGUCCAUAAUUGUACAUUAGGGUUUCUAGCAGAACAAUUAGGUUUUCAAAUUUUGAAAUUAGGGUUUUCUAACUAAUUUGUUAGGUUUUACCCUAAUUAAGACUGUAAUUAUUUACACUUAAAGCAUUCGAGAUCCAAAAUUAGGGUUUUCGUAAUCCAAAUUAGGGUUUUGGAUUCCCAGAACUGAAAUUAGGGUUUUCUAGAGCCGGUAUUAGGAUUUCUUAUCAAUCGCUAGGGUUUUCUAACUGAACGUCGAUGUUCUUAUUUUAAUAUUAGGGUUUGGACACUAAUAUAAUUUAUCUGGUCAACCCUUGACCCUUAACCACUUACUGUACACAUAUGCAACCAUAUACACAGAACAUAUACACUUAUACAAUUAAUCCUGAAUAAUUCACCACAAAAAUUUUAAAUCAAUAAAAUUUCUUCCUAUAAAUGUCAAAUCCAUUUACUUAUUUUUUGUCUAGGUUUAUUAUUCAACCUUUAAUCCAUCAUUUAAGAUUUAAAUAAUUUUCUAAAUUCUCGUGUUGUCACAUUCACCGCUUCUUCUAAGAAUUUCGACCCCAAAAUUCAACUUACACCUUAUACCAUGUACCAUUCACCAUUUAUACACAGCAUCACAUGCUACCCCAUACAUUCCUCACAAGAGUAAAAAUUUUGAAAUUAUGCUGAGGUGUUAUAUAGACUAUUGUCUGUCAUUUUCGAAAAUGUUUAUACAGAAAUUCAUCUACAAACCGUCAUAUGAUAGACACAUAGGGUAAUUAGCCCGAUAUGCCCUGUACUGGCCAGGUACUGCUGGUCUAAUCUAUUUGUCAUCACUUCCAUAGGCACAAAAUUUUACCUCAGUCUUAUAGGAUUCCGUACCAAAAUAAUUUGGUACGGGAAAUUUUCAAAGAAUGCUUAGAGUUUUCAUAAACGUUGGUCUAGCCGAAUCAAAUAGCUUAGGCUCAUAUCAAUAAUCAAUUUCAAAUGAAAUAUUAAGGUAUAGCCAAAACUCCGUUGUCAAAUUAAAUUUUUUAAAAUAGUUUGAAAAUGACGUCAUGAUGUCGUACUGUAUUAACAGCCCGUUAAAGGAUGUCAUCAUUAUAUGACUUUGUCAUAACACAUCAUACAAUAGUGGAACAAUGAUUUUUAGUUCGAAUUCAACACUAAGUAUUCCUAUAUUUACAACUCCAUCAUUUUUUAUCAAUCUUGUACCAGGGUACAUGGUACAUUAAUGAUAAAUAAAAUAAAUUUUGAUAUUUCAAAUCAUUUUUCGUCUAGCCGAAACAAUUAGCAUAGACUAUUCUUUAAACCGUUCAAAAAUCAUUUUAAAUCAGUUUUAUCAUCUCAACAGGUAACGAGGUGUCGGUGACCCGAAGUCCACACAUACACAAUAGUCACCAGCAGUUGAGAUCAAUAAUUCAUUUUUCAAAAGCACAUAGUGCGUAUUUAGCUUGAUGUCAAAAAGUUUCAAAGUCUAGCAUAGUUAGCAGAUUUGGAAAACCUAUGUCUCCACUACUGAUCAAUAGCUUAAACAAUUUAUGUAUUCCUAUUAUCCUCAAUACUCCAUUCACACAAAACUAUACCCAGUUCAUUAAACUUACCACACUUAUGAGUUCAAGAACUUUCCACAAUCAUAUGAGUUUAAGAACUUGUCCUAGUCAGACAUUUGGCGUCCAUUCGCUGAGGGGUUCAUAAACAUUUCAUAUAAUCAUGAGUCACGAAUUUACCAUAAGUAUGAGUUUUAAGAACUCGUACUUAAACUGAUAUUCUCUACCUAUAACCUAUCUAACUAUUAUACACACGAGAAAAGAAUCACCUUCUCAAUAGUUAUAUAGCAAAUAGCGCGACACAGACAUUUCAAUGGUUAUCAGUACCAGAAACUACGUGGUUUUUACACCAAGUACAAUUCCCCUCCAAUAACAAGGAAUCAUACAACUCAGUUGCUGACAUGAGUCCCCAAUUGAAAUCUCCACUUAAUAUUAACUCCUUUCUCAAUACGAAUUUCAUUCCACUUGUAUUCAUAAUCCUUUCCUGAAUCUUUACCAAUUCAUAGUACAACUUACACACAACAUUCUUGCCAUAAACUUUUCAAUCAUUCGAUUGAUCCAUAUCAGAUCACGUGGUGAUCUCAUCGUAUAUAUUACGAUUCAUUUUUAUACAAUGAUUAUUUUGUUUGAUGAUCUCCUAUCCUUGUACCUUUAGUCUUUUAGACUCUAUCUUUCCACCAUUACUGUUCACCUUUAUUAUCAAAGUUAGGGAACUCCGUGUCUUUAUAACCCACCGAGAUUCGUCUUUGAAUCUUACUAACUUACUAACUCUAUUUGAGUUAGACCGAAUCGUAAUCACUGCGGAUAUUAGUCUCAGGUAACCCUACCUAAGGUUCAUAACCAACUGUAGCAUCCCCAAAUUUAGGUCCCAAAUCACCAUGAAUCUGGUAUAUUAUUUCUAUAACUAUUACGGAAGAUAUAAACAUAAAUUGUUUAUACAUUAAAAAUUACACACUAUCCCCAAGGUCGAGAACCUUCACAUAAAACCUGAAUCAAUAUCCUAUCUAACAUACAAUGUUAUUAUUAUACAAUACUGUUACAAAUUUUAGCUACACAUAUAAUUCCCAUGUUGUACUUGUCUUGGACCUUUCCUUGUAUUCGAAGUAUUCGUCUAAUCUAGAAGUGUUUAUCAUGAUAUAGCAAGGGUGGGCAACAAGUUUGCCUAGCAAGUAUAAGUUUAUUUGAGGAUAUAUCAUGAUUGAAAGAAUUUGAAUAAUAGCUGGCUAACAUUCAACAAUAUAAUUGUGAACUCGCAUGAACAAACUUUCAUAGCUAAAUGAACAAUGAACAUAAAUAAAUAUAUCUGAACCAGAUGGUAAUGAAGGUGAUCAGCCUUUCAUACCUGAUGAAUACAUGCAAUAUGCACAGAGUGCGAUUAAAUAAUUCAUGGACAUGGCAAUCAGCAAUAAUUAACCACAUGUAUAUUAGAAUGAAAUAACUCGAGGUUGAGUUAAGGAAAACUUGCAUGUACCAUUGAUUACCGUUACACAACCUAUUUAGCUUUGUCUGAAAACCUAAUAUAGAUAAUACUGAUCUCCAAGUAUUAGAAUAAUAUCAUCACAGUAUAAUAUUGUUAUAUAUAAACAUAGAAUAACCUUAACACAUAACACAUAACCCUAUCAGUCUAUACAGCACAUAAGACCUAGUAUCAAGUCAGAAUAUUGCAGUCUAAGUUGAAUCCAACACAAUAUCGACAUCCCGACAGUCUAGUGGAACAAUUAUCGAGCUUAAUAUUACUAAGACUUGGUCUAAACUAGUUCAUAAAUAUCUUAGAUAAUUUAUUAUCAGUCAAAAUAAUUUUCAUAAGCUCGUAAUAAUUUUCAGAUAAUUAUUAUCAUUUAUCAUGAUUUUUCAAUCAUUAAUAUCAUAUUUAUAUGAAUUAAAUACAACAUUAUUCCC
rnacentral:lncRNA from 1 species